UAAGGUUAUAGCUCUUUUAGAAUUUGUCUAACAGGUUUUCCUGUCUUCACCAGAACUCGCCAAC
rfam:Nomascus leucogenys chromosome 13, whole genome shotgun sequence.